AAGUUUUGUUGAAGCGAUAUCUGUUUUCCAAUUCCAGCAAUAAAAUACGUCUCUCCGUGAAGCCGCCAUUAUUGCUUCCCUUUGUCCCACAAGCCCCCACAAUUCACUUACAACGCUUUGGCCAAACCUUUUUUUUUCUUUUGAUUUAUUAAAUCGCAGAUCUAUUUAGUUCCAUCGUCUUCGUUGAACUUUCACUUUCUCUGAUAAUUCCCCAAUGACCCAGUUUUGCGCACUUCUUUAAUAUCUUUCCCCCCCGAUUGCAUCGAUAAGGGUUUCCUGAUGUCCCGAGGUCGGUGUACAUCCAAUUAAAGUUAAACAAGCCCAAGUCUUGAAUUAUAUCAACAGUUUCUUCUCUUUGGUGAAGCAGAGAAGUUCUCAGCUAUAGGGGUUUUUGAGCUCUUUCUUUAGUUCUUUUCAGAGAAGGGUGUUUAUGUUUGAUUUUUGGUAGCCUGCUGAACAAAUGGCGCCCAUAUACUAUAUCCUCAUUGCAUUGCCUUGCACCGUUGGUGCCAUUGGACUGGCGCUUUUGCACAUAUACAGACAUCUUUUGAAUUACACUGAGCCUACUUAUCAACGAUACAUUGUCCGCAUCAUCUUUAUGGUUCCUGUUUAUGCACUAAUGUCAUUUUUGUCACUCAUCCUAAAUGAGAGUGCCAUCUAUUUCAAUUCCAUUCGUGAAAUGUAAGUAUUGUUCAAGUUUGUAUUU